rnacentral:rRNA from 1 species
CUGCUGCCUUCCGUAGGAGUUUGGGCCGUGUCUCAGUCCCAAUGUGGCCGUCCACCCUCUCAGGCCGGCUACUGAUCGUCGCCUUGGUGGGCCUUUACCCCGCCAACCAGCUAAUCAGACGCGGGUCCAUCCCAUACCACCUUGGUUUUCAAACAAAAAGCAUGCGCUUUCUGUUGUUAUGCGGUAUUAGCACCUAUUUCUAAGUGUUAUCCCCCUGUAUGGGCCAGGUUACCCACGCGUUACUCACCCGUCCGCCACUAAGCCUUUCCCUUUUCCG